GGCCCGGUGGUGUAACUGGUAACACGUCCUCUUUUCAUAUCUCUCUGCCUUUGAAGGUACGAAGAAAUCCCUUGUUCGAAUCAAGGUCAGGCCU